rnacentral:tRNA from 1 species
GCGAGAGUGGCGGAACUGGCAGACGCGCUGGACUUAGGAUCCAGUACCUUCGGGUGUAGGGGUUCAAAUCCCCUCUCUCGCACCA